GUUUAUUUCUCUUCAAUGUAAUGCUUCAGACAUUAAUUAAGCACUGGUUAUUUUCUGGAUGCUGAAUGACACAAAGAUGGACAAGGUCCAGCUCUUAUCCUCCAGCAGCUUAACCUCCUGGGGGACCAGACUCACACUGCAAUGACCGUAAUUCAGGGCGGAAUGUGAUGGGUUAGAGCCGGGGUGAAGACUAAAUGCUCCGAGAGCACAGAGGAGGGAGCAGUCCCUCUGAGCUGGGCGGAUCUGGGAAAGCUUUAUGAAGGUGGUGGCGUUGGGCCUGGUCUUCAAGGAUGCCCAGUCCUUCCAUAAUUUGGGAUGGGAACCUGGAGAACAUCGGAAGGGAGAAGGGCGAGUGGAGAAAACUACACGGCAAAGGUGGAAAAAAGAGCAUGCGAAGGGGACUGCAAGAGGUUUGGACCCAGUUCUAAUUCAUGAAAGAGAAAGGGCUUUUUUUUUUUAUUGAGUUCAUAAUAGUUUACAUCAUUGUGAAGUUUCAGUUGUACAUUAUUUCUUGUCUGUCACCGUAUAACUGUCCCCCUUCACCCCCUGUGCCCACCCCUCUCCCCCCUUCCCCUGGGAACCACUGAACUGUUCUCUUUGUCCUAUGUUUGUUUAUCUUCCACAUAUGAGUGAAAUCAUCUGGUGUUUCUUCCCAGCCUGUCUUAUUUUGCUUAGUAUAAUACCCUCCAGGUCCAUCCAUGUUGUUGCAAAUGGGAUGAUUUUGUCUUUUUUAUGGCUGAGUAGUAUUCCAUUGUAUAUGUAUACACCACAUCUUUAUCCAACCGUUGGUCCAUGGUCACUUGGGUUGCGUCCGUGUCUUGGCUAUUGUGAAUAGUGCUGCAAGGAACAUAGUGGUACACAGGUCACUUUGGAUUCUUGAUUUCAAGUUGUUUGGAUAGAUACCCAGUAGUGGGAUAGCUGGGUCAUACGGUAUUUCUAUUUUUAGUUUUUUGAGGAGAAAGGGCUUUUCUCUUUGAAAGUGACUUCUCUGGGUCUGCAUACCAAGAAUGAACCCACUCUGCUUGGCCAACAUUGUAGGGUACUGGUAAGUAAAAAAAGCUUGUUAAUGGGUCCUGUCCAGCUCCAAGUAUAGUUGGCAUUCAGAACGUCAACUGAUUUAAAGGAAAUACUUCAUCACAACAUGUCUGUCUGCUUUCAAUGGGGAGCUUUCUCCCCUAGUUCACCUGUGAUGCCCUUUGUGGUACCUGGCUUUACGUGGGGGCUCUGAGCUAGCAGAUGCAAGACAUCUGCCUUCCUAGGCCGAGGCCCAGAAACCCAAGCUUGGACUAUCAGGAGUUGGCACGCGCCCCCCAGCCACCCCCCGACUUUAAUGCUGGUUCACCUCUCUAGAGUGGGCUCUCCAUUUGCUCUUGGCCACAGCCUAUUUUAUUUCUGGAAAACUGAGUCAUUCAUUUAAAAGGGUGUGUUAGAAUAUUUUAUCCAGCACCGUUAGGGGUUUGGUUGAGGAAGGAUUCCAGGAUACCUAAUCUGCCACGUAGAUGACAUCGUUUCAAGAAGGGCACGUUGAUCGUGAAUUCCCUGGUCUUACACACUUGCAACUGCCAGUCUGUUGUCUCCAAGCCUGAGGGAUGCCUGGCUGGGUUCUAGAUUCUUCUGUUUCAGGCUCUUUACCUGAGACAUUUGUGGACGUUGCUCCACUGUCAUAUAGUGGUUAUGAGAGAAGUCUGAGGCUGGCCUAAUUUAUUUCCCCUGACCCUUGAAUUGCUUGUAUUCUGCCUGGAAACCUGUCAGAUUCUUUCUUUCUACUUGAAGUUCAGUGACUUCACCAAGACAUAGUCCAGUGUUGAUUAUUCUCUAUCAAAAUUUCCUGGAAUAUUGCUAUGGUCUGAUUGUUUGUCUCCCCUCAAAGUUCACGUUCAAACUUCAAUUCUAAAUACUGAAGCCCAGUGUGAUGGUAUCAGGAGGUGGGCCUGUGGGAGGCCAUCAGGUCAUGUGAGUGGAGCCCUCGUGAAUGGGACUGGCGCUCUUACAAAAGGGCCCCAGAGAGCUAGCUUGCUCCUCUGUGCCACGGGAGGAUACAAGAUAUCUGUGACCUGGAAGAGGCCCCCGCCCGGCCUCGCUGGCCCCCUGACCUUGGACUUUCAGCCUCCAGAACUGUGAGCAAUAAAUUUCCGUUGUCUAUAAGCCGCUUGGUCUAGGGUAAUUUUUGUUAUAGUAGUCCAAAUGGACUAAGGCAAAUACAAUAUCUCUUUGGAUCCCAAGAUUUAAUUCUUCUUUUUAAUUUCAGGGACAUUGCCUUGAUGUGUUUUCUGCUGCCUUUGUCCUAUGCUUUAUCUCCUUUUCUUCCAUAAUUAUUAUCUUCUCUAUAAUUAUUUUUUUAAACUUUGUUCUUUUCGAUUCCAUUUUGUGAUUUUCUCAAGCUCUCUGAUCCUGAUUCUUCUUAAAUUGGGUUUAUUAUUGUGUCAGAUAUGGUUUGUUGGUUCUCACCCAUUCCCACUCUUCCUACGCCUGGAUUUCAGGGAGCUGGAAGCCUGAAAGCUGCAUUUCCCAGACUCCCUUGUCAGCUGCUUUUUGGUUGGCUUCUGCCAAUGGGAAGCACUGGUGGGAGCUGGGAAGGUGGGUGCAAGGGAGAAGCCAUUUUUGCCACUUCUGGCUGUAGGCUUGCAGGUGACUGACUGCACACUGUAGCAGCUUUGGUACUACCAGCCAUGGUAACAGGGUGGUUUUGGUUCAGAGGCAGUCAUGGUGCCUCCACUGGUCAACAGUGAGUGUGGCUCACGGGCUCCGGCUCUGGGUUACAGCCCAUCUCCUUUUUGUUUUCCCAGCCUUUCCAACACUUUGUAUCAGAUUACCUGCAUUACUUCCCUCUCUGCUUUAAAUAUGUAGAGUGAUUUCAGGUUUUCCUAAUUGAGCAUUUGACUGCUACAGUUACCAUCAUAAUCAUCAUCCUUUGUUUCUUGUGGCUUUCACCUCUGAACGUUUUAUUUUUCUCUUCCGUUUCUUUUCUUAGCUCUGCCAGUUUACUGUUCAUCUUGUGUCAUUUUUUCUUUAAAUCUUUGUAUCUUUCCUUUGAGCUCUUUUUGUCUUGUUGAGAGAGAACUAUGGGUCUCAGUUCUUGAUGUGUUCUUUGUGUAAUUUGCCUUACAACAAAUGUUCUGUAUCUGCCUUAUUUUUCUGUUUUUUUCCCUCCUUUUGUUUUAGUUUCUAGGCACAGAUCCCUAUGGUACAGUGGUUCUCAAACUUUGGCAUGCAUCAGAAUCACCUGGAGGGCUUAUGAAAAUGCAAAUUCAUGGGUCCCAUCCCCAGAGUUUCUUAUUCAAUAGAUCUGGGGAAGAUUUUCCCUGAGCUAACAUCUGUUGCCAAUCUUCCUCUAUUUUAUAUGUGGGUUGCCACCACAACAUGGCUGCCAACGAGUGGUACAAAUCCAUGCCCAGGAACGGAACCCAAGUGCACUGAACUUAGCCACUAGGCCACGGGGCCAGCCCCAAGGGAAUUUGCCUUUAUAGCAGGUUCUCAGAGGAGGCUGAUGUGGCUGUUCCAGGAAUCACACUUUGAGAACCACUGUUAUCAUGGAUGCUGUUGGUGUUCUGCCCAGAUCCCUUUUACAAGCCAAUGCACUCAUCUGCCAGCUGCUGUGAAUGUUGGCUGCUGACGGCUCAUAGAUGCCCCUUCUCCUGAGAAUUGCCCUAAAUGACAUUACCCAAAAGUGCCUGAGAAGUUAUGUUCCCUGAGGGUGGCCCAUGGUGAGUGAUUGAUGGGUUGGGGAGUGCAAAGUCCUGGUACUUUGCCUCAAGUCGGGGAGUAUACCUCCUAGUGCCAUUCAUGCUCCAGAGCUCCCUAUGAGGUCAGGCUAGACUUCAGGGAAGCCAUAUCUUUGAUUACGUUUCGGCCCUGCCCUGUCCUGCUUCCUGAGAACACUCCCUUAAUAAAAUCACUGUUGGAAGAAUUCCUGUCUCAGGCUAUGUGUCUAGAGAACCUGACCUAAAGCGGCCCCUUCUGGGGCUUUUCUGAUUGCUCUUCUCUGAUGGGGCUGGUUAUUUGCUGAGACAUAGUGUAGAAGGAUGGGGAGUAAGCUGGGCAAUCUCAACUUUGAUUUGGAUUAGUUGUCUUGAAUAUCCUCUUAUUAAGUCCUUCCUUUGCAAUGGGGUUUCUAGAAAUCCCCUUUGGUCACACUCUCUGUGCUUUGACUGCCUUUUCACCACUUGGUAUGGAUUGAAUUUUGUCUGUGUCCCUCCAAAUUCAUAUGUUGAAGCCCUAGGCUCCCAUGUGACUGUAUUUGGAGAUGGGGCCUAUAAGGAAGUAAUUAAGGUUAAAUGAGGUCACAAGAGUAGGGCCCUGAUACCAUAGGAUUAGUGUCCUUAUAGGAAGAGACACCAGAGAACUGGCUCACCUCUCCCUCCCUCCCCCCAGCCCCCCUUCCCCUCUCUCCCUGUAUAUGCACAAAGAAGAAGUCAUGUGAGCACAUGGUGAGAUAGUGGCCGCCUACAAACCGGGAAGAGAGAGUCUCACCAGACACCAAGCAUGCUGCCCCCUGACCUUGGACUUUUGGCCUCCAGAACUGUGAGAAAAUAAACGUCUGUUUAAGCCACUCAGUCUACGGCGUUUUGUUAAGGCAGCCUGAGCCGUCUAAGACCCUUCCUUCACCAUGCUUUACCUCCAGCAGCCUCCUCUAGCGUGUCUUGCCAUGUUUCUCCUUCAGCUCCAUCUCCCUGCCGUUUCAAGUUAUUAACCUGAGCCCUACGGGGACAUUCUCCAUCCUCCUGAAGGUGCCUACAGACCGAGAGCGCUUCAGUUUAAUCAAGAGAUUGUUGGAUAAGCCUUCCAUAUCUGUGUCACGUGAAGAAAGUCUCCAGCUCUGGGAGAGCAUGUCAGUUCUCAGCUUCCUCCUUCACCGAAUCCUAAUUUCACAGUAUUUAAAUUCUGAGACCAUCAUGUGAAGAAGCCUGGGCUGUAGCACCUACUGAAGGAUGAGAAACCACUUAGAGCAGAGAUGAGUCCCAACUGAGACCACCUAGACCAACCAACCUCCAAGCCAUCAGACACGUGAGAGAAGUCAUCCUCAACAAUCUAAACCUCAGCCGAGUUGCCAGCUCACCAAAGAGAUCAGCCAAGCAGGCACAAACUGGAAAAAACUGCCAGCAGAUCCACCAAAUUGUGAGCAAGUGAAAUUGUUGUUUGAGGCCAGUGGCCUAUAACAGAGCAACAAUUGAUAUACUGGUUCAUCUACUUUUGGUAAAUUAGUAGAUUCAGGUGGUAACAGCCUGAUCCCUUCAUUAUAAAGUUCCCCGUCAAUCUUUCAAUUAAGGUUUCAUCCACUAAUGAUUGUUGCCCAUAUCAAUUUUUAACUUCACCUAAAUUAAUAAUGAUUUUCUAACUCUAUUAUACCUUCCACAUUUAUUUGCAGGAAUACUUUUGCAAAGAACUUUCUCUUAUCUACUAGGGUUAUUUAGUAACCCUCAAAUACAGUUUGUACACAAUAGUUGCCUAAUUCUUUCUUUUUAAAUACAAAUUUUCAAAGGAGAAAUUUUGCCCUAGUUACUUCCCAUGGGGUCCAAUGAGGGUUUUGUUGGUUUGGUCUUUUAUUUUCUCUUUCUCAUAUCAAUAUGAAUUAAUUUUUAAAAUAUAUUAAAUAUGUUUCAAUCAACUGUAUUAUUUUAUUUUCUGUUCAAAUUGCCCCAUCUUUGGCCAACAAGAGUGCCUUCAUGUUGGCUUCUGUAUCCUUCUAAUAUGACCCAUCUCUCUUUACAUUGUGGCAUAAUAAAAUGUCCCAGGCUCAUCUUGUGUAUUUCUUGUCCCAGAUUUGAAAUCAGCAGUUCCUCCAAAGAGCCUUGGUUCCAAUUAAUGGGAAAGGUAUUUAGAGACCACACUCUGGGUACUUGCUGUGCUCACUGCUAUUUGGAUGUCAUUGCUUCCAAGCCUUUUCAGUGGACAAAGGAGGAAAUGUGUAUUCUGUUUUUUUUUUUAAAGAUUGGCACCUGAGCAAACAUCUGUUGCCAAUCUUCUUUUUUUUUUUUUUCCCUCCUUUCCUCCUCUUCUCCCAAAGCGCCCCCAGCACACAGUUGCACAUUCCAGCCAUGAAUGCCUCUGGUUGUGCCACAUGGGAUGCUGCCUCAGCAUGGCCUGAUGAGCGGUGCCAUGUCCAUGCCCAGGACCUGAACUGGCAAAACCCCAGGCCACCAAAGCAGAGCGUGAACUCAACCAUUCAGCCACAGGGCUGGCCCCAGAAAUGUGUGUGUGAGAGAGAGAGAGAGAGAGGGAGAGA
ensembl:lncRNA